CGUCCGUUAAACCGCUGCCUAGCACCGACUCGUCGCACUCAUGGGUCGCUGCCGCCUCAGCACGGACAAACGCCGGUAAACUGAGCGACCACGUUACCGUGGAGAAG